GAUGAAGAACGUAGCGAAAUGCGAUACGUAAUGUGAAUUGCAAAUUCAGUGAAUCAUCGAGUCUUUGAACGCACAUUGCGCCCCCUGGUAUUCCGGGGGGCAUGCCUGUCCGAGCGUCAUUGCUGCCCUCAAGCACGGCUUGUGUGUUGGGCCCCGUCCUCCGAUUCCGGGGGACGGGCCCGAAAGGCGGCGGCGGCACCGCGUCCGGUCCUCGAGCGUAUGGGGCUUUGUCACCCGCUCUGUAGGCCCGGCCGGCGCUUGCCGAUCAACCCAAAUUUUUAUCCAGGUUGACCUCGGAUCAGGUAGGGAUACCCGCUGAACUUAAGCAUAUCAAUAAGCGGAGGA
rnacentral:misc_RNA from 1 species